AACAGCUAAUUGCAGCUGAAUGUGCAACUAAAACUCAUCUCUAACUGGAUAAUUAUAUGAUGUGCCUCAGGUAUUUAAGAUUUGCACGCCUUUGUCACACACUGCUUCCUGAAAAUUCUUUAUUUUAGAAAGUAAUUACUUGAAGCCCCAUGUUCCUGGUGCAUGAGUGUUUCACUUAGAUGAGAAGGCUGCCUUCUUGCCAUACCAAAGCCUGGAGUGACUAUCUGGGGCCUUCAUUAAGUAAAACUAAAACAAGCAAUUUGGGAGACAGACUUUUCCUUGCACAUGGAAUUCAACACAUGCAGCUGAAGCUCUCUGUUGAGAGAGGGAACCUUUUACCUCAGGAACACCAGCUGUCCGUGCCAGCAAGCUGCCCUUUCAAAAGCAAAGGUAUUUGCUCCUGCCUUUUUUUUUUUUUUCACUCAAUUUGAACCACUGUAACCCUCCUUUUGCCAGUCUCCCUGAACACAUAACAGGCUGCAGCUAGUUCCAAAUGCUGCUGCUGCUGGGAUUCUGAGUGGCACCAGGUGGAGUAAGUGUGUAAUUCUACCUCUGUCUCCAUCACACCAGUCAGAUUUCAUACUAGCUUCAAGGUGCUUUUCCUGACCUAUGCAGCCCUUUAAAGUCUUCCAUCAUGCCAUCUCACUGAGGGCAUCAUGUUUUGUGCCAUUUCAUGCUGGUCUGCUGUAGUGCACUGGUGGCUAAGCGUUCAUGCACCAUGGAAGUGGGCAUGAUAGGAGAGCUCAAAUAAAA